GACGAACGCUGGCGGCGUGCCUAAUACAUGCAAGUAGAACGCUGAAGGAGGAGCUUGCUUCUCUGGAUGAGUUGCGAACGGGUGAGUAACGCGUAGGUAACCUGCCUGGUAGCGGGGGAUAACUAUUGGAAACGAUAGCUAAUACCGCAUAAGAGUAGAUGUUGCAUGACAUUUGCUUAAAAGGUGCAAUUGCAUCACUACCAGAUGGACCUGCGUUGUAUUAGCUUGUUGGUGGGGUAACGGCUCACCAAGGCGACGAUACAUAGCCGACCUGAGAGGGUGAUCGGCCACACUGGGACUGAGACACGGCCCAGACUCCUACGGGAGGCAGCAGUAGGGAAUCUUCGGCAAUGGACGGAAGUCUGACCGAGCAACGCCGCGUGAGUGAAGAAGGUUUUCGGAUCGUAAAGCUCUGUUGUAAGAGAAGAACGAGUGUGAGAGUGGAAAGUUCACACUGUGACGGUAUCUUACCAGAAAGGGACGGCUAACUACGUG
rnacentral:rRNA from 1 species